rnacentral:rRNA from 1 species
UACGGGGGGGGCAAGCGUUGUCCGGAAUUAUUGGGCGUAAAGAGCUCGUAGGCGGUCUGUUACGUCUGCUGUGAAAACCCGGGGCUUAACCCUGGGCUUGCAGUGGAUACGGGCAGACUAGAGGCAGGUAGGGGAGAAUGGAAUUCCCGGUGUAGCGGUGAAAUGCGCAGAUAUCGGGAGGAACACCGGUGGCGAAGGCGGUUCUCUGGGCCUGACCUGACGCUGAGGAGCGAAAGCGUGGGGAGCGAACAGG